UACGGGGGGGAGCAAGCGUUGUUCGGAUUUACUGGGCGUAAAGGGCGCGUAGGCGGCGCAACAAGUCACUUGUGAAAUCUCCGGGCUUAACCCGGAGCGGCCAAGUGAUACUGUCGUGCUAGAGUGCGGAAGGGGCUACUGGAAUUCUCGGUGUAGCGGUGAAAUGCGUAGAUAUCGAGAGGAACACCUGCGGCGAAGGCGGGUUGCUGGGCUGAUACUGACGCUGAGGCGCGAAAGCCAGGGGAGCGAACGGG
rnacentral:rRNA from 1 species